rnacentral:rRNA from 1 species
UUGUAGCUGGCCUUUUGGGGCGUGGGGGGGGCUGGACCUUUAAUCCGCACACACCUGGGAACCUAAUGGAAAGGCCCGGGGAGAAAGGGGCCCUACGUCUUAUCACCAGCCCCCAUGUGGGGUAGAAUGGGGAUUGAUGUCCUCGCCUUAGAAAAGCGUUGAUAAAAAAAACUUAUACAACUUUCAACAACGGAUCUCUUGGGUCUCGCAUCGAUGAAAAACGCAGCGAAAUGCGAUAGGUAAGGUGAAUUGCAGAUUUUCAGUGAAUCAUCGAAUCUUUGAGGGCACCUUGGGCUCCUUGGUAUUCCGAGGAGCAUGCCUGUUUGAGUGUCAUUAAAUUCUCAACUCCCUGAUUGAUUUCUCGGAGCUUGGGGUGGAGUGUGCUGGCGAAAGUCGGCUCCUCUGAAAUGCAUCAGCGGAAUUCAAUCUUUUGGCUUCUGGAUGUCAGUGUGAUAAUGAUGUUGCGCUGUCGUCCGAGGCUCAAAGGUCCGCUUACAAUGGUCUUUGGACAACUUUAUAUCAAAUUUGACCUCAAAUCACGUAGGACUACCCGCUG